UUCGAUACCAAUUUCGAAAAGUUUGGCCCAAGAUUGGGCCGGAUGGGCCGGACUGGUUGAACCGGACCCAAAAUGGGCCCAAGGCCCAACCGAACCCAAUCCAUUAAAGAGGCACAGCUUCUUAUUUCCCUUCUUCUUCAUUAUUCACGCUGGGAAACAUUUCUUAGGGGGAAGAAGAACACAAGCAAAAACCUAACCCUCACUUUAAUUUCAAAUCCAUGUAACUUUUGAUCCGGAGCUCCGAUUGACGAACCGCUUGCGGCCACGCGUUCACCGCGACGAGCUCUAUGAAACCCAUGGAACAAUUUGGUUCAAGUUAGCUUCCGGAACUUGUGGGCUCAAGCUAUUGAGCAUAUGGGUAUGGUGUAGAUUAAGUGGGUAUAUAUGCAUUGGGAAUGUUUGGAGGCUUGUUGGUGAUCAAAGCUUAGUUUGUGGCUGUUUUACUUGAGCUUGAAGAGGCUGUAAUUUUGUGUUGAGAAGCUGCCUUGGGUGAAUUAAGUGAUCGGCCAAGAUGCAGAUCGAGAGGCUCCUCGCUAGGCGUCUGGAUUCUGGAAAGCGAAGUAGUUCUUGGGUGUAUUUUGGUUUCUAUUUGUAUAUAUGUAUAUAUAAGUGUAGCUUACUCUCCAAGUAAUUUAUGUAUGCUGCUCCUCUUAGAGGUUGAGGGAGAGAUAGGAGUUUACUUUGGUAUUUUGGUAUAUUUUGGGGACACUUAUGUAUGUUUAUAUGUAUAUAUGUAUCCUCCGGCCAGCCUUAGCUUCGCAGGCUGAGUGAGAGGCUAGUUAUGCUGUUCCUUGGCUUUCCUUUA